rnacentral:rRNA from 1 species
AGGUCCAGCCUGCCCAGUGAUAAAAUUCAACGGCCACGGUACCCUAACCGUGCAAAGGUAGCAUAAUCACUUGUUCUCUAAAUAAGGACUUGUAUCAACGGCAUCACGAGGGUCACACUGUCUCCUUUCUCUAAUCAGUGAAACUAAUCUCCCCGUGAAGAAGCGAGGAUAUAACUAUAAGACGAGAAGACCCCAUGGAGCUUCAAACUUUCAGCAACUAAAUCACAGACUUCCCUAUAUUCAUAUGCCAUGCUCAUUAGUUUUAGGUUGGGGCGACUACGGAGUAAAAAUCAACCUCCAUGACGAAAAGAACUAAAUCUUUAUCUAAGAGUUACUACUCUAAGAAUUAGUAUACUAACGCACAUGACCCGACAAACGAUCAACGAACCAAGUUACCCUGGGGAUAACAGCGCAAUCUACUUCAAGAGUUCAUAUCGACAAGUAGGCUUACGACCUCGAUGUUGGAUCAGGGUACCCUGGUGGUGCAACCGCUACUAAUGGUUCGUUUGUUCAACGAU